rnacentral:rRNA from 1 species
GAACGCUGGCGGCGUGCUUACACAUGCAAGUCGACCGGUGAAGCCCAGCUUGCUGGGUGGAUCAGUGGCGAACGGGUGAGUAACACGUGAGCAACCUGCCCCGGACUCUGGGAUAAGCGCUGGAAACGGCGUCUAAUACUGGAUACGAGACACCACCGCAUGGUGAGUGUUUGGAAAGAUUUUUCGGUCUGGGAUGGGCUCGCGGCCUAUCAGCUUGUUGGUGAGGUAAUGGCUCACCAAGGCGUCGACGGGUAGCCGGCCUGAGAGGGUGACCGGCCACACUGGGACUGAGACACGGCCCAGACUCCUACGGGAGGCAGCAGUGGGGAAUAUUGCACAAUGGGCGGAAGCCUGAUGCAGCAACGCCGCGUGAGGGAUGACGGCCUUCGGGUUGUAAACCUCUUUUAGCAGGGAAGAAGCGAAAGUGACGGUACCUGCAGAAAAAGCGCCGGCUAACUACGUGCCAGCAGCCGCGGUAAUACGUAGGGCGCAAGCGUUAUCCGGAAUUAUUGGGCGUAAAGAGCUCGUAGGCGGUCUGUCGCGUCUGCUGUGAAAACCCGAGGCUCAACCUCGGGCCUGCAGUGGGUACGGGCAGACUAGAGUGCGGUAGGGGAGAUUGGAAUUCCUGGUGUAGCGGUGGAAUGCGCAGAUAUCAGGAGGAACACCGAUGGGCGAAGGCAGAUCUCUGGGCCCGUAACUGACGCUGAGGAACGAAAAGGUGGGGAGCAAACAGGGUUAGAUAACCUGGUAGUUCACCCCGUUAACCUUGGGAACUAGGUGUGGGGUCCUUUCCACGGAUUCCGUGACGCAGCUAACGCAUUAAGUUCUCCCGCCUGGGGAGUACGGCCGCAAGGCUAAAACUCAAAGGAAUUGACGGGGACCCGCACAAGCGGCGGAGCAUGCGGAUUAAUUCGAUGCAACGCGAAGAACCUUACCAAGGCUUGACAUACACGAGAACGCUGCAGAAAUGUAGAACUCUUUGGACACUCGUGAACAGGUGGUGCAUGGUUGUCGUCAGCUCGUGUCGUGAGAUGUUGGGUUAAGUCCCGCAACGAGCGCAACCCUCGUUCUAUGUUGCCAGCACGUAAUGGUGGGAACUCAUGGGAUACUGCCGGGGUCAACUCGGAGGAAGGUGGGGAUGACGUCAAAUCAUCAUGCCCCUUAUGUCUUGGGCUUCACGCAUGCUACAAUGGCCGGUACAAAGGGCUGCAAUACCGUGAGGUGGAGCGAAUCCCAAAAAGCCGGUCCCAGUUCGGAUUGAGGUCUGCAACUCGACCUCAUGAAGUCGGAGUCGCUAGUAAUCGCAGAUCAGCAACGCUGCGGUGAAUACGUUCCCGGGUCUUGUACACACCGCCCGUCAAGUCAUGAAAGUCGGUAACACCUGAAGCCGGUGGCCUAACCCUUGUGGAGGGAGCCGUCGAAGGUGGGAUCGGUGGAGAAGGACUAAGUCGUAACAAGGUAGCCG